rnacentral:rRNA from 1 species
UACGGAGGGGGCUAGCGUUGUUCGGAAUUACUGGGCGUAAAGCGCGCGCAGGUGGCUCGUUAAGUCAGCCGUGAAAUCUCCCGGCCUAACUGGGAGGGGUCGGUUGAGACUGGCGGGCUUGAGGACUGCAGAGGUGGGUGGAAUUCCUGGUGUAGUGGUGAAAUGCGUAGAGAUCAGGAGGAACACCGGUGGCGAAGGCGGCCCACUGGGCAGUCACUGACGCUGGAGGCGCGAAAGCUCGGGGAGCGAACGGG